rnacentral:lncRNA from 1 species
GUGGCCGGCGCCGCCGCUGCAGUUGCACAUCCUCCGGCUUAGCUCCCCAUUGCAACAGGGCAAGAAAAAAUCUUUAAUAAACACUUUUAUCCUAUGAUUUCUGGAUGUUCUCGAUUUACAAGGAGACUCAGUGUUUUAUGAGAGUUGAUGAGGAUGGGCUAAGAGAAGUUGAAUUAUAGCACAAAUUUUAGGACUUUUUUUCUCCUAAAUCAAACAGACUUUAUCUCAUCCAGUAUCAGUGGUGGCAGACUAGAAGUGCAAGGAAGUGACCAGAGC